rnacentral:rRNA from 1 species
UCCUACGGGGGGCAGCAGUGGGGAAUAUUGCACAAUGGGGGAAACCCUGAUGCAGCGACGCCGCGUGAGUGAAGAAGUAUUUCGGUAUGUAAAGCUCUAUCAGCAGGGAAGAAAAUGACGGUACCUGACUAAGAAGCCCCGGCUAACUACGUGCCAGCAGCCGCGGUAAUACGUAGGGGGCAAGCGUUAUCCGGAUUUACUGGGUGUAAAGGGAGCGUAGGCGGCAAGGUAAGCCAGAAGUGAAAGCCCGCGGCUCAACUGCG